ensembl:lncRNA
GCGACGAAUCCACUUCGAGUUCGUCAUCAUCCCCGGGAGUUUCAAACGCAACUGUAAAUGAAUGCACGUAAGAUUUUAAAGAUUUUAAAUUAAUCUAUGAAGAGCUAUGCUUGUGAUGCAAAGUGUAAAGAGACGUGUUGUAGUUAGUUAUGCAAUUAUUACGUUUAUUGAUGUGACAAUGUUGAAUUUUCCAAAUGUUUUAUUUUGAGGAGCCGGCAGGUCGUGAAUCCGAUUCUUGACGCACGCACGCACGCACGCACGCACGCACGCACGCACGCACGCACGCACGCACGCACGCACGCACACGCACGCACGCACGCACGCACGCACGCACGCACGCACGCACGCACACACACGCACACGCACACGCACGCACGCACACACACACACACACACACACGGUGGCUGAAACUGCUUGUCCCAAGCAGGGGCGCGACGAACCGGAGCCUAACCCGGCAACACAGACAACAGGGUGCAAGGCUGGCAGCCAAUCCAUCGCAAGGCACCCUACUUGAACCCUCAGACCUACCAGAGAGCAGGACCAAAGCAUUGUACACAUAAGGACAAAUUGUAUUUAUAGUGGAAUUUGUUUUCUCGUUCAGGGCACUUUUUAACAAAGAAAAGAGAGAUGAAGAAGUCAUUGUACAAAAUAUCGCUGUGGAUUCCAUCGGUAAACGUGUUUCUCCACAUAAUAGUGUACCUGUUUGUGCGGAGUCAUGGACAGGUGUUGGGAGUUUCUGAUUCCACCAGUUACAUGAAAGUGGGAGAGAGUGUCCAGUUCCCCUUUACACCAAUAGAAAACCACAACUACAAAGUCGAAUUGGUAUUCAAUUUCUCAGUUGUUGUGGUGUUGUGGCUGCCGAAGAUCUCAUUCCUGCAGACGCACGUUCAUUAUAAAGAAAGAGUGAACAUCCAGGACAAUAUAAUAUCUCUGGAAAGAUUGCAGCUGUCAGACUCAGGUUUUUAUGACCUGAACAUGGGUUAUUUUACAGGACCUCAAGCACAAAAAAAAAGGCUGAAUCUCCAGGUUUUAGGUGAGUGUGCACAAUUCAGAACUCCAUAUUAUUUCUGAAUCUUGGCCUACCUUGACAUACACAUUCACACACAAUGACCCGUUGCAGAGCCUUCUGGUAUUCUCUUGUGCAGCUGGCGUACCAUGCUGUAAUGCAGUACGUCAGUACACUCUCCACCGUACAUCGAUAGAAAUUCACGAGAAGAUCCUGGGGCAGUCUCGCUCUCCUCAGUCUUCUCAAGAAAUAGACGCGUUGUUGAGCCUUUCCGAUGACAGUAGAGGUAUGUGUGGCCCAAGAGAAGUCCACUGUAAUGUUCACCCCCAAGAAUCUGAAACAGGGGACUCUUUCCACAACCUCGCCAUUUAUAAGCACAGGACUAAGGUUAGUUCUCCUUUUCUUCCUGAAGUCCAGCACAGUCUCUUUUGUCUUCCUGGUGUUAAGAAUGAGAUUGUUGGCAGAGCACCAUGCUGUCAGGUUUCAUACCUCAUCCCUGUAUGCAGUCUUGUCAUUGUUUGUAAUCAAACCAAUGACUCUCAUAUCAUCUGUGAACUUCACAAAAACUGGCAAAUUAGUGGAUUUAAGGUAAUCCUUAAAUUGUUCAGUUAUAUAAUAAGCAUACAGCAU